rnacentral:misc_RNA from 1 species
AAUUACCCACGAUAAUAGAUCUGUCAUUGCAGCAAGCAGUUCAAACAACUUAUAUGCAUGGGACAUCAGUUCUGGAAGGGUGCGCCAUACAUUGACUGGUCACUCAGACAAAGUAUGUGCUGUAGAUGUAAGCAAAAUUUCUAGCCGCUAUGUUGUGAGUGCUGCAUAUGAUCGCACCAUUAAAAUUUGGGAUCUACAGAAGGGUUACUG